rnacentral:rRNA from 1 species
CCUACGGGAGGCAGCAGUGGGGAAUAUUGGACAAUGGGCGAAAGCCUGAUCCAGCCAUGCCGCGUGUGUGAAGAAGGCCUUCGGGUUGUAAAGCACUUUCAGUGGGGAAGAAAGCCUUGGGGCUAAUGCCCUCGAGGAAGGACAUCACCCACAGAAGAAGCACCGGCUAACUCCGUGCCAGCAGCCGCGGUAAUACGGAGGGUGCGAGCGUUAAUCGGAAUUACUGGGCGUAAAGCGCGCGUAGGCGGUCUGAUAAGCCGGUUGUGAAAGCCCCGGGCUCAACCUGGGAACGGCAUCCGGAACUGUCAGGCUAGAGUGCAGGAGAGGAAGGUAGAAUUCCCGGUGUAGCGGUGAAAUGCGUAGAGAUCGGGAGGAAUACCAGUGGCGAAGGCGGCCUUCUGGACUGACACUGACGCUGAGGUGCGAAAGCGUGGGUAGCAAACAGGAUUAGAUACCCUGGUAGUC